GACGAACGCUGGCGGCGUGCUUAACACAUGCAAGUCGGACGGUAAGGCCCUUCGGGGUACACGAGUGGCGAACGGGUGAGUAACACGUGGGUGAUCUGCCCUGCACUUCGGGAUAAGCCUGGGAAACUGGGUCUAAUACCGGAUAGGACUCCGGACUGCAUGGUCUGGGGUGGAAAGCUUUUGCGGUGUGGGAUGGGCCCGCGGCCUAUCAGCAUGUUGGUGGGGUGGUGGCCUACCAAGGCGACGACGGGUAGCCGGCCGGAGAGGGUGACCGGCCACACUGGGACUGAGAUACGGCCCAGACUCCUACGGGAGGCAGCAGUGGGGAAUAUUGCACAAUGGGCGCAAGCCUGAUGCAGCGACGCCGCGUGAGGGAUGACGGCCUUCGGGUUGUAAACCUCUUUCAGCAUCGACGAAGCGAAAGUGACGGUAGGUGCAGAAGAAGGACCGGCCAACUACGUGCCAGCAGCCGCGGUAA
rnacentral:rRNA from 1 species